ACCAUUGGUCGAGGUUUCCGUUUGGCAUGUAUUCAAGUACCAGUGCCUUGAAAUCCUCGUUAGAGCAACUGCUCACGACUUUGGUGAGAUUUCUGUGGCGGAUGUUUCGUAGUACCUCGCAUUCGACUUCGAAGCUCUUCGAAGAAGCUUCCGAUAACGAAUUGAAGACCUUGACAGCCAAAAUUUUCCCGUCUCUUAGAACGGCUUUGUACACAGAACCAAAACUCCCCACGCCGAGUAAAUUCGUCUCACUGAAUUGUUCAGUUGCUUGUAGGAGUUCGUAAUACGAAAUUCUUUCUAGAGGUACAGUGGGAACCAGCCCGUCAAUUUCAUUGACUGCCUUAUUUUUUCUUCUGUAUCUAACGAAAAUGAAGACCAAACAGAGAAGCGAUAUAAAUGCGACAACUCCAAUAAGAAUAAAUAAAGCUAAGCGCCCCCUUUUCAUCCUUGACCUGCGUUUGGAAACGUCAUGGUUGCAAAGUGGUACAUUGAACCUUGGGAUUCCGCAUAAUGCAUCAUUACCCUUAAAAGACUCGAUAGUGAAGUUUACGAAAGGACCACCGGUGGGAAUUUCUCCUCUCAGAGCAUUGAAAGAGACAUUAAAGUAGUCAAGGUGUUCAAGUGCUUCAAAAGACUUUGGGAUUGAUCCAAAUAGGUUAUUGUAAGACAAGUCUAUACUUACCAAACUGAUCAUCCUCCCCACGGAUUCGGGAAUAGAACCUUCCAGUAGAUUAUGUGCCAAAGAAAAAUUCGUCAGAGAUAUUAAAUUUCCGAUCGUGCUUGGAAUAGACUCUGACAACCGAUUCAUUGAUAGAUCGAUCAUGGUUGCUGACACUAAAUUACCUAUUUCCGGAGGUAUAAACCCGCUCAAGGAAUUUGAGGAUAAGUUCAGCUCCAGCAGAUCUUUGAGGCGCCACACGCUCGAUGGUAUGAUUAAAGACAACAUGUUGGAAUUAAGAUAGAGAUUUCUUAAGGAUGUGAUAUUCCCUAAACAUUCCGGUAUUCGACCGGAAAAUUUAUUUUGAUUUAAAGAUAAAUAAACCAAGCUGCGUAAAUCGCAAAGACCCUCUGGAAUGGAACCUAUCAGAUUGUUGGUAUGUAGAUCUAAUCCUUGAAACUUGUGCAAAUGGCUAAGAGUAGGUGGAAUGUUACCAGACAACUCGUUCAUGUUUAGAGCAAGUGUCACGAGGUUGGUUAAGUUGCCGAUUUCUGCGGGGAUGAUUCCCUUAAUUUUACAUUUCAUAGCAAAUAAACCUUGCAGCGAGGAAGACAAAUUCCCAACGGAAGGUGGAAUGAUGCCUUGGAGAGGAUUAUCACUAAUUGAGAGGAUUCUUAAUGAUCGGCAAUUAGUCAAGGAAGUUAUGAAGCUCAAUUCUGAAGAAGUUGUUUUGGCCCUUAUAUUGUUUUUGUUAAUGCCUAGAAUUUCAAGGUUUCUUAGGUUACCGAGAAAAUGAGGUACAAAACCAGCGAAGUUGUUAUCACUUAGUGCGAGAAUUCUGAGUUUCGAGAUGUUGGUGAUUGAAUCGGGUAUUGCUCCGCUGAGGUCAUUUCCUCCGAGGUAAAGUUCUUCAAGAGCGGGUAACCCGUGAUCCAAAUUAGUUGGAAGACUGCCUGACAAACUAUUAGAUGUCAAACCAAGAAUUCGAAGAUUUGAUAUGUUAAAGAGCUCCGAUGGAAUAAAACCAGUGAAGUUGUUAUGGCCUAAAUUUAAGGUAUCCAGUUGGAAAAGUUUGCCAAUUUCUCGUUCUACACCACCUGUCAAAGGUUAAAAAAAAAAUAAGCAUUGCAACUAUGGAGAAACAAAUAAUAUUGAAAGUCUAUAUACCUGUUAACUUGUUGUCCGAGAUGGACAAGUAGUUGAGAUUUGUAAGAUUCCCGAUAUCUUUUGGGAGGUUUCCGGACAGUAGGUUGUGAUGUAGGUUCAAACCUUGGAGGGAAGAAAUAUUGAAGAUAGUGAGGGGAAUUGUACCACUAAUCUGGUUUCGUUCAAUGCCAAAUCGAGCGAGAUUCCAAAGAUCGCCAAUCUCGGGUGGGAUAACACCUACGGAAAUCGCAAAGCAAUUGUUAAAAAAAAUAAAAAUACAUGGCAUUGAUUUCCAAGAUGAAAAUUUUAAACGAGAGAGUGAAGAAAUAUUAUACCAUUUAAAUUGUUAGUCCCAAGAUAUAAAAUCUGAAGAAAAUUUAACUUGCCAAGUGCUUUUGGUAUCUGCCCACUGAAGGAGUUGGAAGACAGUGAUAUUUCUCGAAGCUGCGAACAUUCUGACAGGCUCGACGGAAUUUCGCCGCUCAGCUUAUUAACAGAUAGGUAAAUUCUGCGAACACGUGGAAGAUGAGUGCACAUGUCACUUGGAAGGCUGCCACUCAAUUCGUUUCCGGUGAAGCCUAUAAUCUCCAAGGUCGAUAUGUUAAAUAUGGAUGACGGUAUAGAACCCGAGAGACGAUUAUUCUGAAUGGCCAAAACUUGCAGAUUCUGAAGCCUCCCGAGAUCUUGUGGGAUAAAUCCUUGAAGAGAGUUUGAAGUAAAAUCAAGAAGCUGUAGAUUUGUCAGAUUAGAAAGGGAACUCGGGAUGGAACCGGUAAAGCUGUUAUUCCGUAGAGAUAGAUGCUCGAGUUUAGUUAAAAGACCCAACCACGGUGGAAUCUCUCCACUGAAGCUGUUUGCUACGAGAGAAAUAGACUUCAGUCUGUGUAAGAAAGACAACUGUUGAGGCAGAACACCACCGAAAAGGUUGUAACUAAGAUCGAGUGAAACGAGGAAGGAAAGGUUUCCUAGUUGCGGUGGAAUUAUGCCAGAGAGAUUCAUGCGUGAAAUAGCGAGUGCCGUCACACGAUUGUGGCGCAAACCGCAAGUGACGCCAAUCCAGCUGCAGACAGAGCUUGAAUUGGUCCAAUUUUUGGCAAGUAUGUUAUCGGGAUCCAAAGUGAUGUGAGAUUUUAGGGCAAGAAGUGCAGAUUUAUCGGUGGUUGAAUCUUUUACGGCUGCUGCUAUUAGGCAAUAUGAUGACAUAAUUAUUUGGAGGAGUAUGACUGUACAUGCAAGAAUGUGAUAGCAAGUUUUCUCCAUGGCUGCAAAAAUAUAUUAUGGUGAUAUUUUUAAAUAUAUAUGUAUAGAGAGAGAGAGAGAGAGAGAGAGAGAGAGAGAGUUAUGAUCUAGAAUUUUGUUGAAUUUAUAACUGAUAGCACACUUGACGUCAUUUGUCUCCAAAAUCUAAUUAUAAAGAAAAUAAUACAAACUGAGAUAGUUAUGACAGAGUGAAACAUGAUAGUUUCAAAGUCUUCAUUGAUGUGUCUGCUUUUCCACAAACUUCAACAAUUGAGGCAGCAGCCAACAAAGACUUGUGCUAAUUCAUACACUCGCAAAUUUUGUCCUUUAAUGUUUUAUUUAUUAAUUUUUUUUUUUGGUGUCAAUCGCGGGUAUGAUUUUUAAUAUCGAUGUGCAACGCACGUGUACCUAUCUACUAAUUUCAAAGUCUUUGAAAAUUGCAAAAACCCACCGGAGUGUUUUUCACUUUUCACGACCUGUCAACGAGGAGAUGAAAAUGGGCUGAGUGAGUACCGUGUUUUUUUUUUUUUUUUUUUUUUUUGGAUCAAAAAAAAAAAGAGUACUGUGUUGUCUAAAAAUAAACAUAGGGGGUAAUUUCACUGAGUUAUUUGCACGGCCCCCAAACAAUGUUAAAAACAAUGGCAAAAAGACCCAUCACAUGGGACUUAAAUGCAUUUUGGUCCACAAAAAUAACAGUCUCUCAAUUAAGCCCAUCCCAUGUCUUUAGUCUAAAAUACCCUCAAUAAUAUAAUUCUUAUCUAUUCCACCCAAUAUGAUCUAACUUCCUUAAUAUUACACAUUGACUCCGGAUUUAAACAAAUAUAUCACAUUAACCCCCAAAAUUUUUUUUUUUCAGAAAAUAAUUUUUUUUCUGAAAUGUUUUUUUUCCGGCCAGAUUCCGGCGUUGACCGCCGGAGACCGCCGGUCUCCGGCGUUGACUUUUUUUUUUUUUUUUUUUUUUUUUUUUUGAAUUUUUUUUUCCUGAAUUUUUUUUCCGGCCGGUCAACCACCGUUGACCGCCGGUCUCCGGCGUUGACUUUUUUUUUUUUUUUUUUUUUUGAAUUGUUUUUUCUUAGAAAAAAAUAUUUUAAUUAAUAUUACUGUCUUGACUACUAAAUUACUGUCUCAGACAGUAAUAUUACUGUUUGGGACAGUAAUAUUACUGUUUGGGACAGUAAUAUUAUGAAUAUUAUUUUUCCGAACAGUAAUAUUAUUAAUAUUAUUGUCUAAGACAAUUAAAUUACUGUUGGAAACAGUAAUUUAACAUCCAAGACAGUAAUAUUAAUUAAAAUAAACUUUUUUUAAGGAAAAAAAUUAAAAAAAAAAAAGAAAGUCAAUUAACAGUUAAAUUACUGUCUCCGACAGUUAAAUAACUGCUGGAGACAGUAAUUUAGCAACGAAUACAGUAAUAUUAAUUAAAAAUAUUUUUUUUAAGAAUAAAAAAGUCAAUUAACAGUUAAAUUACUGUCUCCGACAGUUAAAUAACUGCUGGAGACAGUAAUUUAGCAACGAAUACAGUAAUAUUAAUUAAAAGUAUUUUUUUUAAGAAUAAAAAAGUCAAUUAACAGUUAAAUUACUGUCUCCGACAGUUAAAUAACUGUUGGAGACAAUAAUUUAACAACGAAUACAGUAAUAUUAAUUAAAAAUAUUUUUUUUAAGAAUAAAAAAGUCAAUUAACAGUUAAAUUACUGUCUCCGACAGUUAAAUAACUGCUGGAGAGAGUAAUUUAGCAACGAAUACAGUAAUAUUAAUUAAAAAUAUUUUUUUUAAGAAUAAAAAAGUCAAUUAACAGUUAAAUUAUUGUCUCCGACAGUUAAAUAACUGCUGGAGACAGUAAUUUAGCAGCCAAGACAGUAAAAUUAAUUAAAAUAUUUUUUUUAAGAAAAAAAAAAAAAAAAGUCAACGCCGGAGACCGGCGGUCAACGCCGGAAUCUGGCCGGAAAAAAAAUAUUUCAGAAAAAAAAUUAUUUUCAGAAAAAAAAAAAAGUUUUGAGGGUUAAUGUGAUAUAUUUGUUAAAAUCCGGGGUCAAUGUGUAAUAUUAAGGAAGUUAGAGCAUAAUCGGUGGUAUUGAUAAGAAUUAGGGUUAAAAUUGGGGUCAAAAUUGAAAUUAGGGUUAAAAUUGGUUAAUUGAUGAAAUUGGGCUAAAUUGGGGUGUAAAUCAUGAAAUUGAAGUUGAAUUGGGUUUCAAUGAAUUAUGGGUAAUUUUGGUAUAUAUAAAAGGAUUUUCCUUAUUUGCAAAUAAGUUUGAAUGGGGUGGAUUUAUUUGGAAGACAAAAAAGUUGGAUGUCCCUAUUUUAAUUAAGUGCACUUGUCAUGGGCUUUUUUGUGAUUACCCCUAAAAAAAUUAGCAAUUAACCCCCUAUGUUGCUUUUUAUUUAGUUCAGUGCCCCUUAGUGGAAAUAAAUAUGUUGACUAACAGAAAGUGACUAUACUAUCCUCAUUAAAAUACAACAUAAAACAAAAUAAAAAACAAAAAAUAACCAAAGAAAACCUAAAAAAGAAAAAAAAAUUAGAAAGAAAAAUUAGUAAUAAAAAUAAGUCAGCCAUCUCCAACCCAACACCACUCUUCCCAUCUCCACUGCCAUAUAUAAGUACUCUCCUCCACUCGCCAUGGUCAUCUUCGUAUCGUACACCACACUCACGAUGAAGGCAUCGAAGGCGGAGAAGCAGUAGCCACGAAAGCCUAUAAGGCUAUAAUGGUGGGCUACUAUCGGGAGACGUGGAAAAAAUGCAAAAAAUAGUUUUUUUCGUGGAUUUUUUUCUCUGAAAAUCCCUGCUCGAUGGAGCAUAUAUUUUUCUUGGAUUUUCGCGGGUUGUUGAUGGGUUUUGCAAAAGAAUAAUGAGCUUGAAUCUUAACUCCAAACCGAACCGAAUUUCGUCGGAGAAAAUGUUAGAGUGGUGGGACGAAGCAGAGGCUGAAGAUAUGGAGGGAGGUGAGGCCGGAGAGAGUGUUCGCCGGAAGAAGAUCGGCGGUCAGCUAUGUUCAGUUUUGGGAAAAUUGCAAACCAGUCCCUAGUUUAAGGAAGAAGAGGGCUUUUCUGAAACUUGAAGGGACUGAAUUGAAAAAAUUGAAAACUUUAUUUUGGGGCUUAUUUUUAAAAUUUAAAAUGUAGGGUAUUUGGAUCUUUUCACGUCAAAAAAAUCGUACCCAAUCGCACAUUUGGCUAGUGUAUCACACGACCAGCUCGUAGGUGCCGGAUGCUAAAACCUCUAAUUUCACUCUACUAUGUAUAAUAUCUCAGUGGCAGCCAACGAAUAUACACAAAAACAUAUUUAUUUAGCUAGUUUGUAUGAUUUCAUGUUUAAAUGGAUUACAAAUCCUAAAUUAUAAUUUUAAACUAUUUUUGUGCGAUUGGUGAAUUUUCUGGAGAGUAAAAAUUCUAACAGAUCAACAUGGACAAUACUAUCACUGAUUCAUAUUACAAAAAACUUGCUCAAAUUACAAAUCUACAACCAAACAAACACACCAUCAAGUGCUUAACACACAGUAUUAUUCUUCCCUUAAUUAUUACACAUAUUGUAGAUAUAUGCUUAACUAACAUUGUCGAAGCUUUACAACUUUGAUUUUCUGCAGUGAUCUAACUGUUUGCGGUGAUAGAAUCCCGGUGGGAAUAUCGAACUUUGAUUUUCUGCAGCUCUGUUAAAGCUUCUUUCAUGUUUAUUCUAUCACCAGAAGAUUCUGCGCAACACUUCAAAGCCAACUCCAGUAUUGAUGACACACAUUGCACAUUUUUCUCAAAGCCUUGUUCGUUUUCCGUAUUCAAUAAAUUGGCAUCUAUUACCUCAGUUGAUGACUCAUUAUUAAGUGAGCUUUGAACCCAACUCUUUAAGGUUAAAUCUCCACCGAACAUUUCAUCACUUGGCCUUUUUCUCGUAAAAGUUUCUAUCACCAUCACUCCAUAGCUAUAAACGUCACACCUUGUCGAAACUAGCCCUUCCAAACCAUACUCUGUAAAACAACAAUCGUAUAAUUCAAUAAAUCGAAAGUGAAAUCCAAUUAAAAGUAUAUAAAAAUAAUAUGAGUGAAAGUGAGAAUAUUAAUUAACCUGGUGCGAUGUAACCCAUUGUUGCUAGUGUGCUUGUGUGCACAGUGCUCUCACCUUCGCCCAUCAAUUUUGCUAUCCCGAAAUCACUCACAUGGGCAACCAUGUCUCCAUCUAACAACACGUUGCUUGGCUUCAAAUCGCAAUGAACAAUGAGAGUCGAAUGGCCAUGGUGAAGAUAUUCCAACGCACAUGCAACAUCAAUCAUUAUGUUCAAUCUUUGCAUGAGAUCCAAGUAGUAGUUGUGGGAAUAUAGCCAUUGGUCGAGGUUUCCAUUUGGCAUGUAUUCAAGUACCAGUGCCUUGAAAUCCUCGUUAGAGCAACUGCUAAUGACUUUGGUGAGAUUUCUGUGGCGGAUGUUUCGUAGCACCGCGCAUUCGAUUUCAAAGCUCUUAGAAGCAGCUUCCGAUAGCGAAUGGAAGACCUUGACAGCGAAAAUCUUCCCAUCUCUUAGAAUGGCUUUGUACACAGAACCAAAACUCCCCAUGCCGAGUAAAUUCGUCUCACUGAACUGUUCAGUUGCUUGUAGGAGUUCGUAAUACGAAAUUCGUUCUGGUACAGUAGGAACCAACCCGUCAUUUCCAUUGGCUGCUUUAUCUUUCCUUCUAUAUCUAAUCAAGAUGAUGAAUGCCAAAGAGACGAGCG
rnacentral:lncRNA from 1 species